rnacentral:rRNA from 1 species
GACGUAGGGGGCAAGCGUUGUUCGGAAUUAUUGGGCGUAAAGAGCGUGUAGGCGGCCACUUAAGUCCUGCGUGAAAUCUUGCGGCUCAACCGCAAGCGGUCGUGGGAAACUGGGUGGCUAGAGUGCGGGAGAGGAGAGUGGAAUUCCUGGUGUAGCGGUGGAAUGCGUAGAUAUCAGUCGGAACACCGGUGGCGAAGGCGGCUUCUUGGGCCCUACCUGACGCUGAGGCGCGAAAGCCAGGGGAGCGAACGGG